rnacentral:rRNA from 1 species
UACGUAGGGUGCAAGCGUUAAUCGGAAUUACUGGGCGUAAAGCGUGCGCAGGCGGCUCGGCAAGUGAGGUGUGAAAUCCCAGGGCUUAACCUUGGAACUGCACUUCUAACUACCGGGCUAGAGUACGUCAGAGGGGGGUAGAAUUCCACGUGUAGCAGUGAAAUGCGUAGAGAUGUGGAGGAAUACCGAUGGCGAAGGCAGCCCCCUGGGAUGAUACUGACGCUCAUGCACGAAAGCGUGGGGAGCAAACAGG